CCUUAAAUUAUAAAUUAUUAUAAUUUUUGGCUCAAAUUUUAUAAAUUAUUAUAAUUAAAUCUCACAACCUAAUUCAAUGGACUAAAUAUUAAGUUUUCUCUGACAUAGAAGUGAUGUGACAUUUCAAUGAUUAUCUUGUUAUUUAUCACAAUACUAUUACAUUACUUCUAUAUUAGCGACACAUUAAUAUUUAACUAAUUAAAUUAUAUUAUAUGACUUAAUUAUAACAAUUGAUAAAGUUUAAGCUAGCAAUUAUAAUAACGAACAAUAUUAUCAAUAAGCCCUAAAAAGAGUUUUUAUUAUAUAUUUAUAAGCCAACAUUCAUCGAAUGGUCGGAGUUUUCCACUAAAUCACAUCGUAUGACUAAUAGAAAUACGUUCAUUCUAUGAAUCAUAAGCUCUAAACAGUUAUAUAUCCAAAAAUAAAAAAUAAAAAAUACUGAUAUAAAGAAUGCACUCGUCGCAAUUAAGGGUUCAACUAUAAUGCUCACGGAUUUUGACUCGACUUAAUGUAUCUGGAUGUUAAGUUUAUUAUUGGGCCUUUUAUCAUUAUGCCUAUUGUGAAUCAUAGUCUCCCUCAAGUUAUUAGAGUCGUUCAACUUAUUAAUUUUAUAGGCCUAUUAUUACUAAAUAAGACGUUGGAUUUAUUUUAGCUAAUAAUAAAUAGGAAAAACUUCAAAAACCUGCCUUGUGGUUUCACAUUUUUUCACUUUAGUAUCUUGUGGUUUAAAAUGUAUCAAGUUAGUACCCUGUGGUUUUUCACUUUAUCAAUCUAGUACUCUGUGGUUUAAAGUGUAUCAAGUUAGUACCCUGUAGUUUUGCACUUUAUCACUUUAAUACCUUGUGGUUUCUCACUUUAUCAGUUUAGUACCCUCUGGUUUAAAAACCAUAAGGGACUAACUUGAAACAAAAUUAAAACCACAUGGUAUUAAACUGAUAAAGUGCAAAACCACAGGGUACUAACUUGAUACACUUUAAACCAUAGGGUACUAAAAUGAUAAAGUGAAAAAUCACAGGGUACUAAAUUAAUACACUUUAAGCCACAAAAUAUUAAAGUGAUAAAAUAUAAAAUCACAGAGGAAUUUUUUGAAGUUUUUCCUAAUAAAUAGGUAACACAUGCU
rnacentral:lncRNA from 1 species